GCGUGUGCGUACGUGCGUGGGGGAGGAUCGGGCAGUGCGGAAGCACGCAGCCGUCCGUCCUCUUGAACCUGCCGAGAAGAGGAAAGUGAUGCUCUCUGCCUGCAGGUUAGCCUGAGAGACACCCAGAUGGAGGAAACACCUGGAUUCCAGUCCCGGCUCUGCCAUUUGCUAUUGCUGUGGCUUUAGGACAGUUACUCUGUGCCUUUCCAAAUCCCGUUUAUUCAGGGACGUUCAGGAUACCAGGCUGGAUGAGAACCCCAGACCCGUCUUCUAGGGAAGUGCGCGGUAACACUCCGCUCCCCGUGCACACGCGGCCGGCCCGCCCGGCAAGGGAGCUGCGCGAGCACGAUGCGUCCCGCCCGCUGCUGUAGCAGGCUGCCGUGGAAACGGCACGAGACGAGAAUGGCUUUGGUGUGCACGCGCCCUCCAGGUACAGACAUGCCCAGGGACUUCCAGGGCUGCUGGAUGAAGAUGAGAGCCAGCCGGGCGUCAGGUAGCGACCGCCUGUGCAGCAGCUAGACGCCCGUGCUGGGCCCACGCUAAGUGAGGAGACGACGCGCAGGAGACGCCCGCGCAGCCGCUGGACGCCCGUGCUGGGCCCACGCUAAGUGAGGAGAGGACGCGCAGGAGACGCCUGCGCAGCCGCUGGACGCCCGUGCUGGGCCCACGCUAAGUGAGGAGAGGACGCGCAGGAGCCGCCUGUGCUCAUCCUCCAGGGCCUUGCUCACUUGCGGAAUGGCAUCCAAAACCCGAGCAGCCGAAAAGCACCUCCCGACACCUUUCCUCGAGUGUGCCUGCCCGUGCGGGCUGCGCUGAGGCGCGCUCUGACACGUGGGAGCCUGGGUGCCAGCCUGGGCUGUGUGGCCUGAGCCCUUCUCUCCCUGAUUUCAGGCCGGAGAAGGAGACUGCAUUUCUGGGAUUGUUCUCAUUGUGCCAGGGAAGACUGGCUGGGUCUGAGCAUGGUGCAGGGCCUUCCUCCCCAGGCAGGUGGCAGCCUGGACCUAGGAGCAGCAGGUGGAGACCUCCCUUGUACACAUCCGCUCUCCAUUCUCUGUCCGCGGGGCCAGACCUCCACCCUGCGGGGAGAAGGUCGCUGCUCCGUGCCCUCUGCUGGCCGGGCUUGCACUGACCUGGAGCUGCGGGCAAGAGGCCCAUGCGCACCCCCCUUCUCCCUGCGGUCUGCGUGCUGUGGACUGCGGACGCUGGGAGCCAGGGGCCCCCACUCACACUCCCCGCAGAGCCGGGCACAGGCCUGGAGACUGCAGGAAACCUUCACCCAGAAGGUGAGCCAGCAGCGCCACACACACUCUGAAAGCGGGCCUCUGUGUGUGCAAACUGGGCCCUCCGUGAAGGCCCUCCUGCCCUACCCCUCAAUUCAGGGACUCUGGGAAGUCUCGCCGUCCUCUUCCUCCUUCCCAGCUCCCACCACGUCAUGGCUCGGCUCGCCCAGGCCUCACUCUCAGCCGCCUGCUGGAGUGCAAGCUGGACGGCGCGCUCUGAGUCAUGAGCCUCCUUGCCUGGAGUGGGGCGAGGGGGACCCGGAGGCUUCAAGCCUCAGGGAGAUGGUGAAUUCCUGACUCUGCAUUGGGUGCCAGGGGGUGGUCCCCUCCUCUCUCUGCCACCGCACCUGACUUCGCUGCCCAGUCACCUCUCCUCACCGUGCUCCCCAGCCACAGCAGCCCCUGGUUGCUCCCUGACCAGACCCGGCCUGCUCCCGCCUCAGGGCCCGUGCACUGGCUGUGCUGCUCUCUGCCUGCUGUUUCUCAGAUAGCCCCAUGCUCGGCUUUCUUGCCUUUUUCAGAUCUUUCUCAAACAUCAUCUCCCCAGGGAAGCCUUCUCUGGCCACACUCUUUACAGUGGCGCCCCGCCCUGCCCGCCACCCCCUCCGCAUUGCACCUCCUGGCUUGCCCGUCCUGCAGCCCGCUGCACAUCUGACCUCCUGAGCUUCCUGCUCAUGUGCCUUGAGUGUGUCUGCCCACCCCACCAGAGGCCCCCGGACAAGGAGGGUCAGAUGUGGCCAGGAACUCGGACAAUUGUGCCUCUGAGAUGUCAAACCUCAGAGACGGCUUUUACCCAAAAGCACCACCCUGGAAACAGAGGGAGAAAGGACAGUGAAAGAGUGAGACAGAGACCCAAGGCCUCCAGGAAAUGAGACACAGAAUGAGGCUCGGACCUGCCCCGAGUGGAACUAGGGCUCGCAGGCAGGCCGCAGACCUUGGAAGGACACCACUGAUUCAUCCGUGGGGACUGCAACGUCCUGAAGGCUGUAUUCUGACUUCCGCACCAUUGUUUGUUUUCUCAACUCUGCUGAGAAUACAUGUGCCCAUCCGCUGCCCACGAAGCGUGAAGAUUCUCCGCACCGGAGUCCAAGGAGGAAGAAGGGCAGCGCUGGGCCAGGUCAGCUGGAAGCCCGUGCUGGGGCGCAUCAGAACGCCACACCGCCCGGGAGAAGGGUGCGGGCUCUGGCGGAGGCUGCCUGCGCGCACAUGCGGAGUGGAGAUAGCGGCUCCAGCAGGGUGUGCCAGCCAGGGGCGCCCGAGAUAGGUGCUGAGGCAGCCUUGCCGGCGUCCCCCAACACAGGGCCCGGCCGGGGCUUCCUUCCCUUAGAGCCCUGGACAGAGGCAGCGGCGUGCCUGCGGGCCCCAAGGUGCACAGCCCGUGUUUGCCACUAAGAGAGGGGCUGUCUGGCUUCAAGCAGAAGGAGUUUGCUCAACAAGCAGGAACAAGAGGCUGUACUGAAGCUCUGAGGGGUUAUGGAGGAUGCCAGGGAAGAAGUCAGGGCGGGAGAAGGGGCAGGGACCGUGGCUGGGCCCCCGCAAGGCAGCCCUCCCUUCCCCGCCCAGUGCUUGCCUGGGAGCGGCCAGCACUGCCCAGGCUCUCCAUGGCUGGAGGGGUCGUGCCGGGCCCCAUGCAGCCCUCACCGUGGACCCGGGGGGUGGGGGGGACCCAGUGGUGCGGGGCUGGCCCCAGCUGCUGGCAGGAGGGGAGUGGGCUCCUGUCAGUUCCUGCUGUUGCCAAGCCUUUGUAGAGGACACUGUUCUGGAAGAAUGUGGAAAAACUAAAAUGUGUAAUAACUAAGGGCAGGAGUCAGCACUCCCUCAGAAGUUCAGAUUAUAUAAUGACCUGAAGAAAACCCCAGGCCAAGAUGAGAGGGAAGUGGGCACAGGGACACAGUGGCACGGUUUGAAAAAUGAGCCCAUGCUGGAGUGGGGAUGCAGGGAGGGCUAGGUGGGAUUUCUGGAGCCCACGGACUAUGUUCUUAGAACUUGCUUUGGUUGACUUCUGUCCAUUUCAAUUUGUUAUUUACUGGCCUCCAAGUAUAUGCCAAGCUCUGGGCUAGGGGCUCCUGAGGGUAUGAUUUUUAAAGGGCACUUUUCGCUUUUGGAAUGCAGGCAGCCCUGGUGUGGGCCCUCGGGCCACCUAGCAAUCAUCUAUCCAUUUCAUAGCCGCUUCCCGAGCACCCCUCUGCACCAGGCCCUGAGUGGAAGGUCAGAAUUCUGACAAGGGGACAGACACAGGGAUCAAUCGGAGCUGCAGAGUAUUCCCAGGGCCAUGGGAGGUGGUUUUCUAGGAGUGGGAAAAUGUUCUGUGUUGUGGGAAUGCAUAAACGGGGCCUUUGCAGAGCAGCAGGUGUGACUGUGUGUGCGUCACUGGGGGUUGGUACCCAGAGAGCUGGGGGCACGCUAGGGCGGUGGCAGGCAUCGGCACCGGUGGUGCAUGAGGGCAGGCUCCCGGGCCAGGGCUGAGCAUAGAAAGGGGGUGGUAAUGGCCAGUGGGGGAUCAGGGUUGAACCUCUGUGCAGUCCCUCCCUGUGGUGCGAUGCAGUGACUUCCCAGCCACAGCCCCUGCGGCGGGCAGAGUGCCCCGCCAGGCACACACCGGCAGCAGACCCACACAGCCUUCUGCCACGGGCUGGCCCCAGAGGCCUGUGGGGUCUGGUGCCUGUGUGCACAGCCUGGCUCACCCUCAGUACCUGGGAGCGCUGUGGCAGGCCAUCUCCCCCGAGCCUCCAGUCCUCCAGCUGCAGAACAGGCGAGAAAAUGCCCAUCUCCCCCGUGGAGGGAGAGGCAGGCAAGGCUUUGGCAGGGCUUAGUGGAGCAAAAGCACUGCUGCUGUUGCUGUGACAGCGAAAGCGAAAGGUAGCCGCUGUCUGAAGGGAGACUCCUGAAAUCACAAGCAUCUGAAGGCCAGGUCUGCUCUGUCAGUUCUGUUACCAAAGCCACCUCUGCUCUUGCUGGCACAGUGCCAGGCUCUCAUGUACCGUUAGUCACGUGACUCGUGGGAAGUAGCGGUUACUCCCACUCACAGCCGGGAGCCGAGCAGCCGAGGUGCUUGCGUCUUUCCCGCUGCCAGCAAGCGCGAGGGAGAUCAAACCAGGCUGACUCCUCAGCGGGUGGGGCUCUGGUCUCUGCCUCUCACUUGCCCUGUGACCAGAGCACAUCAUUUAACGUCUGGGACACGUGUGCUCGUGGGAGGGCCGUGCUGAUAGGAAACAGAUGAAGGCACAAACAGGCACUUCCCCCAAAAGUAAUGUGGAGAUAAGAACAC